GCUCAGGAUGAACGCUAGCUACAGGCUUAACACAUGCAAGUCGAGGGGAAACGACAUCGAAAGCUUGCUUUUGAUGGGCGUCGACCGGCGCACGGGUGAGUAACGCGUAUCCAACCUGCCCACCACUUGGGGAUAACCUUGCGAAAGUAAGACUAAUACCCAAUGACGUCUCUAGAAGACAUCUGAAAGGGAUUAAAGAUUCAUCGGUGAUGGAUGGGGAUGCGUCUGAUUAGCUUGUUGGCGGGGUAACGGCCCACCAAGGCGACGAUCAGUAGGGGUUCUGAGAGGAAGGUCCCCCACAUUGGAACUGAGACACGGUCCAAACUCCUACGGGAGGCAGCAGUGAGGAAUAUUGGUCAAUGGACGAGAGUCUGAACCAGCCAAGUAGCGUGCAGGAUGACGGCCCUAUGGGUUGUAAACUGCUUUUAUAAGGGAAUAAAGUGAGUCUCGUGAGACUUUUUGCAUGUACCUUAUGAAUAAGGACCGGCUAAUUCCGUGCCAGCAGCCGCGGUAAUACGGAAGGUCCGGGCGUUAUCCGGAUUUAUUGGGUUUAAAGGGAGCGUAGGCCGGAGAUUAAGCGUGUUGUGAAAUGUAGACGCUCAACGUCUGCACUGCAGCGCGAACUGGUUUCCUUGAGUACGCACAAAGUGGGCGGAAUUCGUGGUGUAGCGGUGAAAUGCUUAGAUAUCACGAAGAACUCCGAUUGCGAAGGCAGCUCACUGGAGCGCAACUGACGCUGAAGCUCGAAAGUGCGGGUAUCGAACAGGAUUAGAUACCCUGGUAGUCCGCACGGUAAACGAUGGAUGCCCGCUGUUGGUCUGAAUAGGUCAGCGGCCAAGCGAAAGCAUUAAGCAUCCCACCUGGGGAGUACGCCGGCAACGGUGAAACUCAAAUGAAUUGACGGAAGGG
rnacentral:rRNA from 1 species